rnacentral:rRNA from 1 species
UACAGAGGUGCCAAGCGUUAGGCGGAAUCACUGGGCUUAAAGCGCGCGUAGGCGGAUGUUUAAGUGUCUUGUGAAAUCCCACGGCUCAACCGUGGAACUGCUGGGCAUACUGGACAUCUCGAGGCACUCAGGGGCGAGCGGAACAAGUGGUGGAGCGGUGAAAUGCGCAGAUAUCAGGAAGAACACCUAUGGCGAAGGCAGCUCUCUGGGACGGUACUGACGCUGAGACGCGAAAGCGUGGGGAGCGAACAGG